CACCCGCAGCCCAAGUGGUGGUCAUGAUUAUUGAGUCUAAAGCGUUCGUAGCCGGUUUCGUAAAUCUUUAGAUAAAUCCUUCCGCUCAACGGAAGGACUUCUGAAGAGACUGCGAAGCUAGGGAAUGGGUGAGGUUGAAUGUACUUCUGGGGUAGGGGUAAAAUCCUGUAAUCCUGGAAGGACAACCAGUGGCGAAGGCGUUCAACUAGAACAUGUCCGACGGUGAGGAACGAAGGCUAAGGGAGCAAACCGG
rnacentral:rRNA from 1 species